UCCGGUUUGUCACCGGCAGUCCCAUUAAAGUCCCCAACUAAAUGCUGGCAACAUGCGACAGGGGUUGCGCUCGUUGCGGCACUUAAGCCAACACCUCACGGCACGAGCUGACGACAGCCAUGCAGCACCUGUGCAGGGCCCCGAAGGACACGGGCUUUCACCCGCUUUACCCUGCAUGUCAAGCCCAGGUAAGGUUCUUCGCGUUGCAUCGAAUUAAGCCACAUGCUCCGCCGCUUGUGCGGGUCCCCGUCAAUUCCUUUGAGUUUUAGCCUUGCGGCCGUACUCCCCAGGCGGGGUGCUUAAUGCGUUAGCGUCGGCACGGAAAGGGUUGAAGACCUCCCCACACCUAGCACCCAACGUUUACGGCUGGGACUAC
rnacentral:misc_RNA from 1 species